GUCCUUGCCCAGUGUAAGUUUCCUGGAGCUGCAGCAGCCUUUUUGUCACCAUGAGGGCAGCUGGUGGGAACCCUAGGAAAGCAGGAAAUCACCUAGAGCCGGAACAGCCUGAGCCUCUGAACCAACCCACAGCUGACUACCCGUCACUUUGUCGUGUCUCUGUGAUUUGAGUCCAUCAUUCUGCUGCAGUUGAAGUUCUACAGACUGUACACGAAGCAACGGUGUCAGCAUCUGCUUCCAGUGGGGCCUCAGGAAGCUUUCAAUCAUGGCAGAAGGCCAAGGGGCAGCGGGGUCUCACGUGGCAAGAGAGGGAGGAGGAGGUGCCAGCCUCUUUAAACAAUCAGCUCUUGCAUGAACUCUUAGAGCCAGAACUCACUCACUACCUGGAAGACGGCAUGGAGACAAUAAUGAGGGAUCCACCCCCAUGACCCAAACUCCUCCCACUAGGCCCACCUCCAGCACUGGUGGUCACAGUUCAACGUGAGAUUUGGAGGGGACAAACAUCCAAACCGUAUCACCCCUCAACCCCUCAACUACACCUGGUUUGCUCCUUGUUUUCUAGAUUUUGACUGAAAUGUCCCCUUCCCGGCAAAGCCGUGUGGACCACCCGGGCUAAAGCAGCCACCUGGUGCUGGCCUGUGUGGCCCAAUUCCAGUUCUCCAGGGUGCUCAUCACUCUGUGGCAGUUUGUCUUCUGGUUUGUGAGAGAAGAAUAAAUCUGAGGGACCCAAAAUCACUAAAGGGAAAAGUCAAGCUGGGAACUGCUUAGUGCCAACCUGCCUCCCCUUCUAUUCAAAGUCACCCCUCUGCUCAAUGAAAUAAAUGCAUAUCUGAUUGCCUCCUUUGGAGAGGCUCAUCACAAACUCAAAAG
rnacentral:lncRNA from 1 species